GGCUGGGUUGGGUCAGCUAUAUGUUGUCCCAUUUUUUGGUUGGACCUGACCUAAUUCAGUCCAUCAAAUUUUAGGCCUUUUUGGGCUGGGCCAGAUAGACCGGCAGCUCUAUAUACAUCUUGUCAAAAUUAAUGAGUGCGAUAGCAAAUAAAAGGAGCUCAAUGAACUUAAGAAUGUAGCCCAAUUUAAUGAAUGCCCAAUCAACCCAAUGCAUAUAGAAGCAGCCCAUCUACCGGUCAAAGCAAUCAAGCCUCAA
rnacentral:lncRNA from 1 species